rnacentral:rRNA from 1 species
UACGAAGGGGGCUAGCGUUGCUCGGAAUUACUGGGCGUAAAGCGCACGUAGGCGGUCUUUUAAGUCGGGGGUGAAAUCCUGGAGCUCAACUCCAGAACUGCCUUCGAUACUGGAAGACUUGAGUCCGGGAGGGGUGAGUGGAACUGCGAGUGUAGAGGUGAAAUUCGUAGAUAUUCGCAAGAACACCAGUGGCGAAGGCGGCUCACUGGCCCGGUACUGACGCUGAGGUGCGAAAGCGUGGGGAGCAAACAGG